CUUCUCAUUGUUCUUCUCAUGUAUCAGAUUACUAGACGUCUUCUUCACUGUGGAGUAAUCCUCUCCAGUAAGCAGGAGGAGUAUCUCUAGGGUAAGAUCUAACAUCCUCUCCGCCAUCUUGUCCCCGUCUCCAUCCAUUAUCUGGUACUGAUGAUGUCAUCGGACAAUCCUAUAUCACAGGAACCUGA